rnacentral:misc_RNA from 1 species
GGUUUUGUCCACUUCAUAUAUUUUUUUUUCAAGCUUUAUUCAUGCUUAAGCAAAUUUUUUUCGUCCAUAGUGUUCCGUUAAUCUUUCAUGUUUACCGUUUAGUUUGAUGCUGUGCUUGAUUUUAACAAAUGAUCUGGUUCACAUCCCAUAAUCUGUAAAGUUGCAAUAAGUGUAGUGAACAAUGAACAGUGUAAGAUGGCCUGGUGGAAGACUGUUCUAGGGAUUGCUUCAGUUGAGACAAUUCUCAAGUAUUUGAAGGAUUACCCUACAGAUUUAUUGACAGAAUCUUACUUAAAUUUGAUGAGAGCAUUAUAAUAACAGCAUUGAUAACAGAUCUCGGCAACAUAUGAUGUUUACAAAACAAAUAGCCAUCUCCUGGAAAGUGGACAGCUGCUGCCUCUGCCUCCAACUUGCCUGUACUUUUGGUCCUGGCUCACAAUCAGCACAAUAGAUGACCUUGCUUGUUUCAUUCCAAUUACCAAACAUUUUGCGUAAACUUUUAUGCAAAUUAAGAACUCCUAAUCCUACUGUUCUCAGUUCCUAUGCGCUUGUAGUAAUUCUUUGAAUUGGUAAUCGUAGCAGCAUAACUAUAAAUCUAGUAUAUUAGAACCCAUAAGAUCUUGGCACUUUUCAUAUCUAGAAAUGCAUUUGCCAAAGUUGAAUAGCAAGAAUAACCAGUAUAUUAUUAUUAUUAUUAUUAUU